CAGCGAGCUUCCAGAGAGCCACAGCUGUUAUGUUUAAGUGACACACUCCAGGGGGAUCCUCACAGGGGAUACAGGUGACUCAGCCUGAUGCUGUCCAGAAACCAGGCAAAACAUCACUUCUGUUCCCAAGGAGUCUAAUGCAUGCCCACCAUAUGCUUCACAUGGAUUCAGAGGAUUGGCCCGUUGUAUCUUCAUUCAAGGGUGACUGGCACAGGCUGCCCUGAAAAGCUGCAGUGUCUUUAUCCUUCAAAACUGACCAGAUACAUCCCUGAUCAACCUGUCCCAGCUGGCCUUGCUCAAAGCCGAGAAUCUGUACCAGAAGUUCUCCAAAGAUCCCAUCCGUCCUCAAUCUUUGGGUGCUUCUAAGAGUGAGGAGAGCUAAGUACAGGUUUCUUUUUCAUUGAGGUGAGCCUUACUGGUGUAGCGAGGCAGAUGGUGACUACUCUUUUUCAAAGGUGUAAAGAACAUCAUUCCAGAGUUUGAAUUAAGGGAGAGGCCAAGCACUUGCAAGGGUGCUCCAUUUAUAGGGUCUUUGCAGUCAAAAGAGAGAGAGAGUUUGAAAGUCAUAAUGAAAGUAAAUUAAAGGGCCCACAAGAGGGCACUUAGGAGACAAAGGUUUUUUUUUUUCCAAAAAAGGGUCACAGAAUGGAGUGCCUGGGAGGAUACAGUAAUGAUGCGGUUUCACAUUACAGCAAUAAUUCACUCACAGGACCAAGUUUAGAAUAACCUCACUGUCACAUAUUUUAAUUAGCAGCAAAGGUUCUUGUUAUGCUGGCAGUAAAGGGGAGAAGCCUAUUCCUCUUCCCCUGUCUUGUCCAGUUCUUUCCUAUUGGCUGCAGCCAUGAGCUAGAUAAUCUAAUUGAAACAGAAUAUUGAACUGCCACAACAAAACUAUUGUUACUCUGUUAGUGCAGUUCAGUGACUUGGACACAUCCUGAGGAUAUUCAGUUGCUAGAGCCAGUGCAAGUGAGGGGAAGGGGAAACACAGCUGUGCGAGGUGAAAGAGGCAAGAUCAUCCACUUUGGCCACACGCUCAAUUGGAACCAAGUGAAAUAUAUUAGACAUGAAAAAGAAAAUGUUAUCUGAAGUACUCUUGAUUACAAGUGAGUGCCUGGUAUGAUUUGGCAGCGUGGCUGCAGUGCUGCUGCACACCCUACAGCAGUGUGCUCUGCUCCACACUGCAACAGUACCCUACUCACAUUGGAGCUUCUUUGAAAACCCCAGGCAGGAAAAGUUUUAGAAACUACAUUCAACCUGUUGCGAAUUUCAACCUCGCCUUACAAAAAUCCAUCCCAUAACUAAAAACACUCGUGUAUGAGUCUAAUACAAGUCAAUGACAGAAGGCUAUCAAUAUCUCCAAAAUGUGUCUCAAAAUCGUGGCACCAUACAGCACUUACUCACCAGAACCUGCACUGACAGGCAAAGCAACAGCUCUUAAAACUGUACUUGAAUUCUAGUAUUAAUUAUGCUUUUUAACAGUAUGCAGAGCAUAUUUUAAGGGAUCUCUUACGUGAGCCUCUCUAGAGGCAUAUUAUUGUGAAACUGAUCGAUACAGUGAAGAAAUACCACGAUUUUCUUCUUUGGCAGACUAACCUUAUUACCCUUAUUUCUAGCACUAUAAUAGUAACAGAAACAAAUAAAAAUAAUAAGCAAAAAAACAACCAUCGCAAUUCAGUGACCUCCUACUAAACUAAGCUGAAAAUCCUUCAGAGGUCUCACCUACUAAACAGAUAUUUUUACAUACUUAGAAGCUUUCUGAGUUACACUGCAGCCUGACCAUGUGAGACAGGAAAGCCAUUCCAGACAUUUGAAGGUAUUCUCCUGAAAUGCAUACAUUGAAAAUGAGUGGUAAAUAAUAUCUUCCAAAACUAAGUACAAUCACACUCAGGACACAUUUAAGAAAAGUGUAUUUGCAGACAGUGUGGUGGGACCCUAAGUAAAACAAAUAUGUACUACUUGCUAAGUAAAUCAAAUAUGUACUACUUGGCUGCAUGUAACCAUUGUACUCAAAGCUGUAAGACAACCGUAUUUACUGAGUGGUGAAAAGAACAAUCUACAGAAGGAUUUCCAAUUAGCUCCCUGAGAACUCUCUAGUUGACCAACCUACAAAGAGAAAUUAAAAAAUAUCUGAUAAAAAAUUGUGGAAAAUGCUGUGCUACAUGUAGUUAGAUAAUAUCUAUUUAACUAAAUCAGACAGUGUUCUGUAAAAAGCUUAAACAGUCAUGGACAUCAGAAGAUCAGAAUGUUUCCUGCUCUAAAAUAUUAUAGGAUUUUCAGCAACUCACAGUUUCAAAAUAUGUCAACUGAUACUGUGGGCUGCAAAGCCAAAAACACAUUUAUAUGUAAGUUGCUCUGAAAGUAAUGCCUCCUACUUAUUUCCAUUUAAACUACAACAGAGCACAACACUGUUUGAUAGAGCAAAUUCUCAGCUACAGAACACUACAGUCACCACCACUAGCUAUGCAUUUUCAUCAGUGAUAAACAAGCCUGCAUGUUGUGCUUGUAAACAUUUGUACCAGCAGAGUUGAUCCGCUGCACCACGCACCACUUAAUUAAUGCACUGUUUGGUCUCCAUAAAUGUUCAGCAAGUGUCCAUGGAUGUCAGUGGAUGUCAUUUUUUCUGCAUGACAAAGUUCAGUGACACCCCUUCACUUCAUACACACUUCCAUGUUAGACACCACUUUGUCAGACUGCCCCUUUGUUGCCACCUGUCACACAGCAACAACA